UACGAAGGGGGCUAGCGUUGCUCGGAAUCACUGGGCGUAAAGCGCACGUAGGCGGCUUUUUAAGUCAGGGGUGAAAUCCUGGAGCUCAACUCCAGAACUGCCUUUGAUACUGGCGACCUUGAGUCCGGGAGAGGUGAGUGGAACUGCGAGUGUAGAGGUGAAAUUCGUAGAUAUUCGCAAGAACACCAGUGGCGAAGGCGGCUCACUGGCCCGGUACUGACGCU
rnacentral:rRNA from 1 species